rnacentral:rRNA from 1 species
UACGUAGGGUGCGAGCGUUGUCCGGAAUUAUUGGGCGUAAAGGGCUCGUAGGCGGUUUGUCGCGUCGGGAGUGAAAUCCACUGGCUUAACUGGUGGCUUGCUUUCGAUACGGGCAGACUAGAGGUAUGCAGGGGGAGAACGGAAUUCCUGGUGUAGCGGUGAAAUGCGCAGAUAUCAGGAGGAACACCGGUGGCGAAGGCGGUUCUCUGGGCAUGUCCUGACGCUGAGGAGCGAAAGUGUGGGGAGCGAACAGG